UACAGAGGUCUCAAGCGUUGUUCGGAUUCAUUGGGCGUAAAGGGUGCGUAGGCGGCGCGGUAAGUCGGGUGUGAAAUCCCGGAGCUUAACUCCGAAACUGCAUUCGAUACUGCCGUGCUUGAGGACUGGAGAGGAGACUGGAAUUUACGGUGUAGCGGUGAAAUGCGUAGAUAUCGUAAGGAAGACCAGUGGCGAAGGCGGGUCUCUGGACAGUUCCUGACGCUGAGGCACGAAGGCCAGGGGAGCAAACGGG
rnacentral:rRNA from 1 species